GACCAGAACUCUGGGAGAGAUGGAUCAUGAAUCCAGUCAUCCUCAUUUACUAGAUUUUCAGUAGUGCACUAAGGCACAAGGAGACAAGGUAAUUUGGUUUUGAUGGAGAAAGGAGACAGGUCGUGAAAAACCGGAAUAUAAAAACCAUGAAACUGGGUCCUGAAGGAGGCCCUAUGAAGGCUGAUAAGUGGAGUUAAAGAAGUAAAACAAGCCCUUCUGGCAAAAUAUUUCAUUACAGACCAGGGCCUAUACCUUAUUUGUCUGGGGGAUAAUCUGUUCAGGGAACCA